rnacentral:rRNA from 1 species
GAUUAACGCUAGCGGCAGGCCUAAUACAUGCAAGUCGAACGGUAACAGGGUAGCAAUAUCGCUGACGAGUGGCGCACGGGUGCGUAACACGUAUGUAAUCUACCUCUGACUGGGGGAUAGCCCCGAGAAAUCGGGAUUAAUACCGCAUAACAAUGCAGGAUGGCAUCAUUCUGCAUUUAAAGCUCCGGCGGUCAGAGAUGAGCAUGCGCGGCAUUAGCUUGUUGGUGAGGUAACGGCUCACCAAGGCAACGAUGCCUAGGGGUUCUGAGAGGAUUCUCCCCCACACUGGUACUGAGACACGGACCAGACU